AUGAAAAAUGUUAACGUCCGCGGGAUACAAGCUCAAAAUGUGCUGGUUUGACCUUUUUUCGGCUCCGUUUGAYUCAUUUACAAGCAGAGAAGGGGUUUUGAGAGACUUACAGUGAUCCUUGUUGGACAGCUUCUCCAGUUAUGUUAGUUCCUGUAACAUUAUUGGUCUCAGUUGGGAACAGAUUGCCAAGCUGGUUGCUAAGUAUAGUAGGGACGCAUCGAUUCAUCACUUAAAAGCAAACAAAGUGAAUCGAUGCCUGAUGCCUUUGGACAUGACAYCUCUCCUAAAUUUGGUACUGUUCAUACCUAUAGUGCCUGCUGGUUCAAGUACAAGAGUGUGACCUGACUGCAUUGGUACUGACAAUCAUGAUACACAGUGCUUGAAAUUAGAACUUACAGCARGUCAAAUAAGGUUUUUA